rnacentral:rRNA from 1 species
AAUUCUGGUUGAUCCCGCCAGCGACCAUUGCUAUCCGGGUUCGCCUGCCAUGCAAGGCGUGAGGUGCAAGACCUCGCCGAACUGCUUCGUAAUGCACAGUCAACUCCCCCUAAAGUGGGAGAUACACUCGCGAAAGUGAGCUCAAUAUCCCAUAGCUAUAGAAUUCUGGAAUGAUUCUAUGGCAAAAGCUCCGGCGCUUUAGGACAGGACUGUGUCUGAUUAGGCAGUUGCAGGGGCAAAGACCCUGUAAACCGAUAAUCAGUACGGGCUAUGGAAGUAGACGCCCGACGAUGGACUCUGAGACAUUAGUCCAGGUACUACGGUAUGCAGCAGGCGCUAACUCUUCGCAAUUGGCUAACGCCAGACGAGGGAACCUGGAGUGCUCUUGCUUUUUGCAAGAGCUUUUGCCGACUGUAAACGGGUUGGUGAAUAAGGGCUGGGUAAGACGGGUGCCAGCCACCGCGGUAAUACCCGCAGCCCGAGUGAUGGUCACGAUUAUUUGGUCUAAAGCGUUCGUAGCGGGCCUGAUAAGUCCAUAGUGAAAUCCUGCAGCAAACUGUAGGGCGUGCUAUGGAUACUAUUAGGCUUGAGACUGGGAGAGGAUAGAGAUACUUCUAGGGUAGGGGUUAAAUCCUAUAAUCCUAGGGGGAUCACCAGUGGCGAAGGCGUCUAUCUGGAACAGGUCUGACCGUGAGGAACGAAAGCUAGGGGAGCAAUCGGGAUUAGAUACCCCGGUAGUCCUAGCUGUAAACGAUGCCCACUUGGUGUUGCAUACCUUUCGUGGGUAUGCAGUGCCGGAGCGUAGGUGUUAAGUGGGCCACCUGGGGAGUAUAACCGCAAGGUUGAAACUUAAGGGAAUUGGCGGGGGAGCACACAAGGGGUGGGCGUUGCGGUUCAAUUGGAUUCAACGCCGGAAAUCUUACCAGGAUCGACAGCAGGAUGAGGGUCAGUCUGAAGGGCUUACCAGACAAGCUGAGAGGUGCUACAUGGCCAUCGCCAGCUCGUACCGUGAGGCGUGCCGUUAAGUCGGUUAACGAGCGAGACCCACAUCCUAUGUUGCAAAUCUAUUCUUCGGAAUGGAUGCACUCAUAGGAGACCGCUGGUGAUAAACCAGAGGAAGGCGUGGGCGACGGUAGGUCUGAAUGGCCCGAACUUCCUGGGCCACACGCGACGCACAAUGCAUGCCACAAUGAGACGCAACACCGAAAGGUGAAGCAAAUCCCCUAAAAGCAUGCCCAGUUCGGAUCGAGGGUUGUAACUCAUCCUCGUGAAGCCGGAAUCCCUAGUAGGCGAAUGUCACUAUCGUUCGCCGAAUACGUCCCUGCUCCUUGCACACACCGCCCGUCAAACCAAUCGAGUGGAGGUUCAUCGAGCCUAGCAAUAGUCGAGUUGAUCCUCCGCGAGAGGGGUUAAGUCGCCACAAGGUAGCCGUAAGG